rnacentral:rRNA from 1 species
CCUACGGGCGGCAGCAGUGGGGAAUAUUGGACAAUGGGCGAAAGCCUGAUCCAGCCAUGCCGCGUGUGUGAAGAAGGCCUUCGGGUUGUAAAGCACUUUCAGUGGGGAAGAAAGCCUUGGGGCUAAUACCCUCGAGGAAGGACAUCACCCACAGAAGAAGCACCGGCUAACUCCGUGCCAGCAGCCGCGGUAAUACGGAGGGUGCGAGCGUUAAUCGGAAUUACUGGGCGUAAAGCGCGCGUAGGCGGUCUGAUAAGCCGGUUGUGAAAGCCCCGGGCUCAACCUGGGAACGGCAUCCGGAACUGUCAGGCUAGAGUGCAGGAGAGGAAGGUAGAAUUCCCGGUGUAGCGGUGAUAUGCGUAGAGAUCGGGAGGAAUACCAGUGGCGAAGGCGGCCUUCUGGACUGACACUGACGCUGAGGUGCGAAAGCGUGGGUAGCAAACAGGAUUAGAUACCCCAGUAGUC